rnacentral:lncRNA from 1 species
AAAGAUUUGCUUCUUUCAAGCUCUGAAAUUUAGAUCCAUGGUCUUUGUUUGAACUGUGUUGUACUGUGAGCUCAUAGCUGGUACUACCAAUGUGUCAAUCCUUAGCAAAAACUUUUAUUAAUAGCUAUGCAUGCGCUGCCUUAGCCUUCCAGUGGCCAUAGGUGAUUGACAUUGGUAAUAGGGGGAUGCAAGUGAUUUAAGUAGAGCUGGGGGCAAUUGUUGCAGUUGCCAUUGCUAUUGCUGUGUGUGGUUUUAACACAAGGGCAUUUGUUUGGGGAAAAAACAGUGUUCAUAUAAUUGAAUUUGAUACUUCUUGGUGAACUGGCCAUGAAUUAACAGGCUUUACACUGCAAGAAAAAGAAAAGAAACAUGAACCAUAACACUCAAGCAGUUUAAGCAUGUCUUACAAGAACAUAAAAGGAAAGAGCCCAGUAAGAGUUAAGUUCUGUGGAAUAGCUAGAGCUCUAGACAUGUGGGUUUUCUCCAAACCAAAAGUCAACAGUUCAUCAAAGCACCGGGCAGCAUAUAACUAUUGGGAAGUGCAUGUAUUCUGACAUCAGUUAGGAAGUGUCCAUAUGGUAGUGGGUGGCACAGUGGCCCCCAAAAUAUAUGUCCACAUCCUAACACCAGGUAUAGAGGGAUGGGACCUUAUUUGGAAAUAGGACUUUUGCAGCUGCAAUUAAAUUGACAAUCUAUUGAUGAGAUUAUGGCUAGAUUUAGAGGGGUCUCUUAAAUCCAAUGACAGGUGUUCCUGUAAGAGACAGAAGACGAGACACAGAUAAAGAAGAGAAGUCCUCAUGGAGAUGGAGGCAGGACUGGAGUGAUGCGGCCACAAGCCCAGGGAAGCCUGAAGUCCCCCAGAAAUGGGAGAGGCAGGAAGGAUUCUCCCCUAGAGCCUCCAAAGGGAGCACCACCCGGAGACACCUUGAUUUCAGAUUUCUGGUGCCCAGAAAUGGUAGAGAAUAAAUUUCUGUUGUUUAAGCCUCCCGGUCUGUGACACUUUUGCUACAGCAGCCCCAGAAAACUCAAACACAACACUCUGUGUGUGUGCUCCUACAGUAACUUCCAUAUACCUCUCAUGGGAGAGGAAGGGGAUUAUUCUUCCAACAAGAUGGAGACUUGCACACAUGCCUUGUAGACACAGAGGAAGCAAAAAGCACAGAAAAGUACUCAGAGGCUUCGCAGACACGUGGGAGACCCUCCUCAGUUGGUAAAACGCCACAGCAAUACCUUACAAUGGGCACAGAACUGUAACAUAAGGAGUGAUCUUCUUUUCUGAGGAGCCAAGGCUAAGAAAACUGAUUCUCGCUGAAAAAGAAAGCAUUUCCAAUGCACACCAGACAUAAAUAAUUCAUGCAAACCAACAUGAAUUAUUUUAGUACGUGGCUUUCAUAAAGUAACUUCUUUGUCUUCAUUAUAUAACCCCUAAAACUUCUCAAAGACUACUCUCAGACUUGUUAAAGCUGAAAAAGCUUAACUAUACAUAUAAACACUGUCAUAUAUCAAAGGCAUAUUUCACCUUACAAAGCAUGCUCACUAGGGCUUUGCUCACGAGACACCAAAAACACGUUCAGUUGCACUUCACCCUGAAAGCAGAAUCUCUUAUCCCUGAAUCAGAAGGGACGUAGGCACACGAAGUCCCAGGGAGAAAAGAGGCAUAUAUAUCGUGCUGAGUUAACAAGAUUUGGCACUUGUCUUUUUCACAGGAAAAGAAGGAACAUGAAAGAUAAGGAUUUUGGCAGUCUCACUAAUUUUUAUAUGGGACGCGGGAUGGGAGAUGAACCCUACCGGAGAUGAUUAUAAAUACCAGUUUGUCUUUGAAACCAGUUUUACGAAUUAAUGCAAUGCCUUAUUUCUUUCUUCUGGAGGAGUCUGUGGUCUCCUUUCAUCCUCAGAUUCUUCGUAGAAGAAAACUGCUCAGAUGUCCUGAGCAAAAUGAUCAAAUUCCAAAACCCAGGGUUUAAGAAAGCAGACAGAAAGCCACAGAGAGGGGAAGUGGUUAAAGAGAGGGGACAUUCCAAAAAGACAGCCACUUAGCACAAACAAUUCAAAUUCCAGUGUUGUUGGUGCCAGAAUCCUUUUCACUGUUGGUGAUGGGAUUUUGAGAAAAGUGUUUCAAAUAGAAGAAUUUGAGGUGUCUUAAAAAUGGGUUUCCAAAGAAAGUGGAGGAGGCGUGAAAAGAUUCCAUUAUCCAGUUGAGAUCGUCAAGUAUCCUGCUGAUCUAUGUGCGGGUCUGGAUACACACAGCCUUCAGGAACUUGGGCACAAACAAAAUCUACUGUGAUGGUUAACACUGAGUGUCAACUGGACUGAUUGAAGGAUGCAAAGUACUGUUCCUGGGUGUGCCUGUGAGGGUGUUGCCAAAGGAGGUGAACAUUUGAGUCAGUGAACUGGGAGAGGCAGACCCACCCUCAGUCUAAGUGGGCACUGUCUCAUCAGCUGCCAGCACAGGUAGGAUAAAGCAGGUAGGAGAAGAUGGAAAAGCAGACUUGCUUAGUCUUCUGGCCUUUAUCUUUCUCCUGUGCUGGAUGCUUCCUGCCCUCGAACAUCAGACUCCAAGUUCUUGGACUUACACCAGUGGUUUGCCAGAGCCUCUCGGGCCUUCGGCCACAGACAGACAGCUGCACUGUUGGCUUCCCUACUUCUGAGGUUUUGGGACUCAGACUGGUUUCCUUGCUCCUCAGCUUGCAGAAGACCUGUUGUGGGACUUCAUUUUGUGAUUGUGGGUCAUUGGGCCACAUCCAGGAAGAACUACCAGAGAAAUCAGCCCAGGCUCAGUCAGCUACAAGUCCCAGGACUGUGGAAGCCAGGGGUCUCCAGAGACAGAGCACCCCACAUCUGAAAGGGCUGAGACACACAGCCCUUGGCCGCUCUAGGAUUCAGUGAUUCCCAACGCGUAUCCUGAAACUCUGAUAAAACAAUGUGCCUCUGUCUCCUGAGUGAAACCGUUUAUGGAGUUAAGUUUACCAGCAUCUGUUUAUUUGGCUACACUGUGAAUGUUAAACAGUUUUUAGAGGUUAUCUGAAUAACUGGCACAGGUGAAAUAAAAUGAAAUAAAAUGUUGUGUUUCCCUCCUUGUGUGCUGGGUUAACUCUUUUGGGAUAUAACAAAGCUUUGAUAUGCCAGCUUUAUAGAUGAUUGAUACUGUGUGCUUGGGUCUUAUUAGCAAUUAAUUACAUCAUUCAUUCAUUCAUUCAUUCAUCAAUUCACCCAUUCAACAGAUGCCUACCCAAAGGUCUUCACAUGCCCAGAAUUUUCCUGGUCACUGGUCAUAACAACAGAGACCUUAUGGAUUUUACAGAGCAGCAAAAGAG